rnacentral:rRNA from 1 species
AGCGAACGCUGGCGGCAUGCCUAACACAUGCAAGUCGCACGGGGGGGCUUCGGCCUCCCAGUGGCGGACGGGUGAGGAACGCGUAGGGACCUGUCGAGGGGUGGGGGAUAACCGCGGGAAACUGCGGCUAAUACCGCAUGACGCCGCGGCGUGACAGCCGGGGCCAAAGGCGAAAGCCGCCCGCCGAGGGGCCUGCGUCCGAUUAGCUGGUUGGCGGGGUAGCGGCCCACCAAGGCGUCGAUCGGUAGCUGGUCUGAGAGGGUGAUCAGCCACACCGGGACUGAGACACGGCCCGGACUCCUACGGGAGGCAGCAGUGGGGAAUAUUGGACAAUGGGCGCAAGCCUGAUCCAGCAAUGCCGCGUGGGUGAAGAAGGUCUUCGGAUUGUAAAGCCCCUUCGGCGGGGACGAUGGUGACGGUACCCGCAGAAGAAGCCCCGGCUAACUUCGUG